UAAUACGUAGGGUGCGAGCGUUGUCCGGAAUUAUUGGGCGUAAAGGGCUCGUAGGCGGUUUGUCGCGUCGGGAGUGAAAACCCAGGGCUUAACCCUGGGCUGGCUUCCGAUACGGGCAGACUAGAGGUAUGCAGGGGAGAACGGAAUUCCUGGUGUAGCGGUGAAAUGCGCAGAUAUCAGGAGGAACACCGGUGGCGAAGGCGGUUCUCUGGGCAUUACCUGACGCUGAGGAGCGAAAGUGUGGGGAGCGAACAGGA
rnacentral:rRNA from 1 species